AACGCGAAGAACCUUACCAAGGCUUGACAUCCCGAUGAAAGGCCCUGAAAGGGUGCCGUGCCUCCUUCGGGAGGAGCAUCGGUGACAGGUGGUGCAUGGUUGUCGUCAGCUCGUGUCGUGAGAUGUUGGGUUCAGUCCCGCAACGAGCGCAACCCUUAUCUUCAGUUGCCAGCACGUAAUGGUGGGCACUUUGGAGAGACAGCCGGCGAAAGCCGGAGGAAGGCGGGGAUGACGUCAAAUCAUCAUGCCCCUUAUGUCUUGGGCUACACACGUGCUACAAUGGCCGUUACAGAGGGAAGCGAAGUCGUGAGGCGGAGCGGAACCCUAAAAAGCGGUCUCAGUUCGGAUCGCAGGCUGCAACUCGCCUGCGUGAAGUCGGAAUCGCUAGUAAUCGCGGAUCAGCAUGCCGCGGUGAAUACGUUCCCGGGCCUUGUACACACCGCUGUC
rnacentral:rRNA from 1 species